UACGUAGGGUGCGAGCGUUAAUCGGAAUUACUGGGCGUAAAGCGUGCGCAGGCGGUUUUGUAAGCCAGAUGUGAAAGCCCCGGGCUUAACCUGGGAAUGGCAUUUGGGACUGCAAGGCUUGAGUGCGGCAGAGGAGACUGGAAUUCCUGGUGUAGCAGUGAAAUGCGUAGAUAUCAGGAGGAAUACCGAUGGCGAAGGCAGGUCUCUGGGCUGACACUGACGCUGAGAAGCGAAAGCAUGGGGAGCGAACAGG
rnacentral:rRNA from 1 species